GUGGGGAAUAUUGGACAAUGGGCGCAAGCCUGAUCCAGCCAUGCCGCGUGAGUGAUGAAGGCCUUAGGGUUGUAAAGCUCUUUCACCGGAGAAGAUAAUGACGGUAUCCGGAGAAGAAGCCCCGGCUAACUUCGUGCCAGCAGCCGCGGUAAUACGAAGGGGGCUAGCGUUGUUCGGAAUUACUGGGCGUAAAGCGCACGUAGGCGGGCAUUUAAGUCAGGGGUGAAAUCCCAGAGCUCAACUCUGGAACUGCCUUUGAUACUGGGUGUCUUGAGUAUGGAAGAGGUGAGUGGAAUUCCGAGUGUAGAGGUGAAAUUCGUAGAUAUUCGGAGGAACACCAGUGGCGAAGGCGGCUCACUGGUCCAUUACUGACGCUGAGGUGCGAAAGCGUGGGGAGCAAACAGGAUUAGAAACCCUAGUAGUCC
rnacentral:rRNA from 1 species